UAUUUAAAUCCAUGAACACCU
rnacentral:piRNA from 1 species